rnacentral:rRNA from 1 species
UACGUAGGGGCCUAGCGUUGUCCGGAUUCAUUGGGCGUAAAGGGUGCGUAGGCGGCGCGGUAAGUCGGGUGUGAAAUCUUGGAGCUUAACUCCGAAACUGCAUUCGAUACUGCCGUGCUUGAGGACUGGAGAGGAGACUGGAAUUUACGGUGUAGCGGUGAAAUGCGUAGAUAUCGUAAGGAAGACCAGUGGCGAAGGCGGGUCUCUGGACAGUUCCUGACGCUGAGGCACGAAGGCCAGGGGAGCAAACGGG